rnacentral:lncRNA from 1 species
CUAAAGCAAAAAGCUGAAGAAGGCACGCUAGACAUAUACACUGAAAAAGGCGUCUGAAAAACCAGCGCCGCAACCAAAGAGAGCACACCCCCCCCCCCCCCCCGCGUCGUCUUCUCCAAACGACCCCUGCUCUCUUCAUCGACCAUGACCAUAGACAAUAACGAGACGACCCCCUCCUCCCCUGAAGCUCCUUCUUCUUAACCACACCCCUGAACAUCACAACAACCAGCCCAUCUCCUACAUCCAUAGAAUAACCAGUAAAACCAGUCCAAAGAAGCUCCAAAUUCAGCUGAACAACAACUCGAAAAUAGCCCUCUUUCCUCACAAAAUAACAGCAUUUUGAGAUUGAGUUUAGUUAAAGCCCCGAGCGUUGGUUGCUGGUUCCGUUCAAGAUGUUGGUGAGAUCUCUAGUCAAGGUUACGCAUGAAGCUCUUAGUCCAUAGGAAGCUUUGUAUAUACUGAGCAUCAGUGCUCGCGGAGGUUCAGUUCUUAUCCCAUUUUUAAUUAAUGCAAAGUUCUUGGUACUCUCUUUGACUUCAUGCGUUUUUUUUAAAAAAAACUUUGAUAUAGUUUUAAUUCCAUUGCCUUUGCAUAUAUGUAUACAGUUGUCAUCUUGAAUUGGCAUAUUAAAUGGGUAAUUCAUAAAUUUUGAUGGUAAACUAUUCGUUUCAUUUUUGUGUAUUGAUUUAGUACUUAUUUAAUGUUAUGCCAUAUUUUUCAUUUGUGAGUAGUAAAUACCUUGGUUUGUGCGUUAUUGAGUAGUCUGUUUCUUUGUGUCCUAUAGAUUAAUUUGUUGUCAUUUCUUAUUUAAGUGAAUACGUAAGUUUUGAUGGUGAAUUGAACGGGCAGUUGGGUUUAAUUAGCACUUAUAAUUUUGGGUUUACAUUAAAGUGAUUCAUAACAAGUGGGUCACGAUAGUAAUAUGGAAUUGUUAGAAGCUUUUGGUUUUGAGAUGAUUUUGAUAAUCAAUGCGGCAUGACAACUUUAAGAUGCAAUUGAUCUAAAUAGCCUAAUGACUAGAUUACGUCAUUUCCUCCUUAAUAUUUUUUAUCCAUAAUUUCUUUAACUUUGCACAAUAAUCUCAAAGUAGUUUAGAAAAAUAAUACAAAUUUCGUAGCUUGCUUUAGGCGCGUAAUUUAAAAAAUCACUUUCCUAAACUUGGGUGUGCAUUUAUGUGACCCAAAUUCAAAUCUCAACAACGUUAGAUAAAAUGUGUCGUGGACCGCGGGUGCAUUUAUAUGACGUGAUUCAAGACGUGUUUUAGAUGACGUUUAAUCUUUCUCCUAAAAAAAUAACAAUUAAUUAAAGCGGUUUUAAAGUUAAGAAUGCACAUAGGUUUAAAAGUAUUUUAAAAUCAGAUAAUUGAGCCAAAAAUAAUAGUUGAGCGACCGUGCUAGAACCACGGAAUCCGGGAAUGCCUAACAUCUUCUCCCCGGUUAACAGAAUUCCUUACCCGAAUUUUUGUGUUCGCGGACUGAAUAACAGAGUCAAUCUUUCCUCGAUUCAGGAUUUAAAACCGAUGACUUGAGACACCAUAAAUUAUCCCAAGUGGCAACUCUGAAUUUGUAAUGAAAUAAUCCCGUUUCGAUUGUCACUUUAAGUUGGAAAAAAACUCUCUUAUACUCCCUUCCGGAGGUGGUAGAAAAAAGGAGGUGUGACAACUCUGGCGACUCUGGUGGGGAUCGAACCCAGAAUCUCUAGUUCAGGGUUCAGAAUUCGAGCUUAGAUGAAUUGUUAUGUUUGGCAUUAUUUAUUAUCUGAUUUUAUUACAUGUUUGGGCCUAAUGUGCUAAAUGUUGCUUUUACCGCNNNNNNNNNNNNNNNNNNNNNNNNNCGGACAAGUUGCAAAGCCGGAUGAUCUUUUAGUUACCGGUACGCAACCUCCCCUCGGCUCGAGUGGUCUGCUCGGGUGCACAAGUCUAGAACAGUAUACCCAGGUUUUAUAAUUAGAAUAACUCAGCCUCAUACUGGAUCCCUAGUAGGAACGUUUGUUUGCAUCAUGUGCAUUUGACUUUGGAGACUCAACACAGGGGUUGGGUCCGUCUAGGACAAGUGUACCCAAAAAUAAAAGACUAUCCUGAUGUAUCCUAUGUGCUACAUGUUAUAUUUAUUCAAGGGUAAAAGGGUCAUUUGGCGGACCAAUGAUAGUUGAGGGCUAAUGAAAAAAAAAGUGAAGUAUGAAAAUAAGGCAAGUAGGGCCCAGCUAUGCUUUCUUUCACAUUUUUUAAAAGAAAAGUAAAAAAAAAACAUGAAAAUUCAAAAGAUUUUGCACUUUUUAUCAUUUUUCGAAAAUCAAAAAUAAAAAUAAAAAAAGAGGAAAAAGAAAUCCAAAAAUAUUUUACAUGUUUCAUCAUUUUUUUUUAAAAGAAAAAAUAUUUUUUCUAAAUUAGUUAUUUUUAAUUUGCCCGAACUACGCAUACCUAAUUCUCGUCUUUCGGGGCAUGAUACGUAGGCAACCCACAUAAGGUCCGGCCUUCCUAGUAAGUCUUAGGUUCUUGGCUUCGCGGGUCUUAGCCAAUCUUGCAUUUUAUCCACUUUAGCCGCAUAGGUUAAUUUUGCAGAAAUAGCUUCAAUCAUGUCUCGCAUGUGUCUAGUAAGGAAUGUAAUUGUCUCACAUAGUGUUGGUUUCAGUUUUCUCAUACAUGUGUGAAUCUACUUACCGGAGUUUGGGCAUGACAGACGCCUUAGGACCAUCCAAUCAGGAGUUUGCUUAAGGAGAUUUUUUUUAGUUAUUAUGUUUUGAGUCUGUUAUUUUUUUUAUGUCGUCUUUUACCUUUUAAUUUUGUACAGUAAUGUUGGGUCUUUCGUUUUUGUAUUUCCUAUUUUGUAUUGAAAAAAG